GCUGGAUCCUGAUUUGGGCGGGAUUUUUUUCCCAGGCAUUGAGCGCGCGCUGGACGGCGGGAACUGUCGCGUCAAGGAGGUCGCUAUGGACGGUGGAUCCAGGGCGCUGCACGUCGCUGUCGGCCACGGGAGGAUGCCAUACCCUUUGGGCGCAACAAACUCUUGGCCAUAUCCUCUUCCGUUUUCACAACAAGAAAGAGAUGCAUAUGAGAGGAAGAGAGCCUCCCCCAAGCUCUGUCUAGGCGAUGCACGAGAAAUUUGGAAACUAUCAAGGAGAUGUCCAAUGAUGAAUAUACUCAGACACUGAGAUACAUUCUAAAACGUGUUUACGCAGGUGAUGGGGCUGCCGCCAACUUGGGCCUGCUCAAGAACAGCGACUCUACAGGAGGGGGAUGGAGUCACGGAAGCUCAUGUGCUAUUGGGAGCGACGGUUCCACAAUGAGCCGGUCUUUUGUCACAUCUGAGUUGGAGGAUGUCCAAGGCCGGAAGUGUUCGUCACCACUAAGCCGCGAUUUGGAUGUCUCAUCUCUGAACAGUUGAAACGCCGAGUACUCCAUGAAAGCUUGCCUAGCGGCUUUUGCGCAAUAUUAUAUCUUUGGACGUUUGCACUUCCGCGGCUCUAGACAUGAGCUUCCUUAUAUGAGUGCUAGCGCGCUACAUUGCAGAGAAAGCUUUGAGAAAAUGCUUUGUUGGGAUGAUAGACAAGAAUAAUCAAUCCUCAUUCCAAGGUUAGAUUUGUACUUCCUUCCCAGUUCUUCUUUACAAAGGACCAAUCCUCUUACUUUAUCCAUUCAUGUUGUCUUAAUUUUGUUCCUUCAUGGAAAAACAUUUUCUCAUUUCAAUCUUUCUCCAUUUGGUAUG